rnacentral:sRNA from 1 species
AGUAUUGUUGUUUUAAAUUACUUUAAUGAUCGGAGCAAAAAGUGGGGUGAGUGUGUUCAAGGUCACUUGCUUCAAACUUGUAUCUAUAAAACCAGUCAGAGCUAACAAUCUGCUAAACUCCAGCUUGACUUGGCUUGCUGUUUACUUUGUUUGUGUUUCUGUCUGGAAAAUGAAAGCAGUGAUUGUUUUAGUGGCAGUAGCAAGUCUUCACUGUUUUGUUACCCAAGGCUUGCCUGAACCAGUUUCAUCUUGUAAACACAAUGGACA